AUUGAACGCUGGCGGCAUGCCUCACACAUGCAAGUCGAACGGUAACGCGGGGCAACCUGGCGACGAGUGGCGAACGGGUGAGUAAUGCAUCGGAACGUGCCCAGUAGUGGGGGAUAGCCCGGCGAAAGCCGGAUUAAUACCGCAUACGACCUAUGGGUGAAAGCGGGGGACCGUAAGGCCUCGCGCUAUUGGAGCGGCCGAUGUCAGAUUAGGUUGUUGGUGGGGUAAAAGCCUACCAAGCCGACGAUCUGUAGCUGGUCUGAGAGGACGACCAGGCACACUGGGACUGAGACAAGGCCCCGACUCCUACGGGAGGCAGCAGUGGGGAAUUUUGGACAAUGGGGGCAACCCUGAUCCAGCCAUGCCGCGUGCGGGAAGCAGGCCUUCGGGUUGUAAACCGCCUUUGUCAGGGAAGAAACGCUCUGAGUUAAUACCUCGGGGUAAUGACGGUACCUGAAGAAUAAGCACCGGCUAACUACGUGCCAGCCGCCGCGGUAA
rnacentral:rRNA from 1 species